GGAGAUCUUGGGGGCUUUGAUAUGCAAAUCAAAGUCAGGCAUGGAGAUCUUGGGGGCUUUGAUGUUCAUCUCUGGCAUCUUGAAUUUAGGGCCCUUCAGUUUCGCAUCUGGACCUUCAAUAUUCACAUCUGGAACAUCAACGUCCACCUUGGGUCCUGAGACGUCAAGGUCAGCCUUGGGCAGGUUCACAUCCACUUCUGGGCCCUCUGCUUUGAACCCUGGCACACUGAAUUUGGGCAUUUUCAUCUUGGGCAUCUUCAAGUGCCAGUCUGGGCCAUGAA
rnacentral:lncRNA from 1 species